AUUGAACGCUGGCGGCAGGCCUAACACAUGCGAGUCGAGCGGAUGAAGGGAGCUUGCUCCUGGAUUCAGCGGCGGGCGGGUGAGUAAUGCCUAGGAAUCUGCCUGGUAGUGGGGGAUAACGUCCGGAAACGGGCGCUAAUACCGCAUACGUCCUGAGGGAGAAAGUGGGGGAUCUUCGGACCUCACGCUAUCAGAUGAGCCUAGGUCGGAUUAGCUAGUUGGUGGGGUAAAGGCCUACCAAGGCGACGAUCCGUAACUGGUCUGAGAGGAUGAUCAGUCAAACGGGAACUGAGACACGGUCCAAACGCCUACGGGAGGCAGCAGGGGGGAAUAUUGGAAAAGGGGCGAAAGCCUGAUCCAGCCAUGCCGGGGGGGUGAAGAAGGGCUUCGGAUUGUAAAGCACUUUAAGUUGGGAGGAAGGGCAGUAAGUUAAGACCUUGCUUUUUGGACUUUACCAAAAAAAGAAGCACGGGCAAACUUCGG
rnacentral:rRNA from 1 species